rnacentral:rRNA from 1 species
GUUUGAUCCUGGCUCAGGACGAACGCUGGCGGCGUGCCUAACACAUGCAAGUCGAGCGAAGUAUUUGAGGAAGAUCCCUUCGGGGUGAAACUUCAAAUAUCUUAGCGGCGGACGGGUGAGUAACGCGUGAGAAACCUGCCUUUCACAACGGGAUAGCCUCGGGAAACUGGGAUUAAUACCGUAUAAUGUUUCUACUUAGCAUUAAGAAGAAACCAAAGCGCAAAGCGGUGAAAGAUGGUCUCGCGUCCCAUUAGCUAGUUGGUGAGAUAAAAGCUCACCAAGGCGACGAUGGGUAGCCGGCCUGAGAGGGUGAACGGCCACACUGGAACUGGGACACGGUCCAGACUCCUACGGGAGGCAGCAGUGGGGAAUAUUGCACAAUGGAGGAAACUCUGAUGCAGCGACGCCGCGUGAACGAUGAAGGCUUUCGAGUCGUAAAGUUCUGUCCUAGGGGACGAUAAUGACGGUACCCUAGGAGGAAGCCCCGGCUAACUACGUGCCAGCAGCCGCGGUAAUACGUAGGUGGCAAGCGUUGUCCGGAAUUAUUGGGCGUAAAGGGCUCGCAGGCGGUCUUCUAAGUCUGAUGUGAAAUCUUGCGGCUUAACCGUAAGCGGUCAUUGGAAACUGGAGGACUUGAGUACAGAAGAGGAGAGUGGAAUUCCACGUGUAGCGGUGAAAUGCGUAGAGAUGUGGAGGAACACCAGUGGCGAAGGCGACUCUCUGGUCUGUAACUGACGCUGAGGAGCGAAAGCGUGGGGAGCAAACAGGAUUAGAUACCCUGGUAGUCCACGCCGUAAACGAUGAGUGCUAGGUGUUAGGGGGUUUCCGCCCCUUAGUGCUGCAGUUAACGCAUUAAGCACUCCGCCUGGGGAGUACGGCCGCAAGGCUGAAACUCAAAAGAAUUGACAGGGG